rfam:Cellulomonas fimi ATCC 484, complete genome.
UCCGGUCCUCGGUAGUGGCCCCCGGAGCUCUCGGCUCCGAGGACCACGGUCGAAGACCGCC